UGGGGAAUAUUGCACAAUGGAGGGAACUCUGAUGCAGCGACGCCGCGUGAGUGAUGAAGGAAUUCGUUUCGUAAAACUCUGUUCUAUGGGAAGAAAAGGACUGUACCAUAGGAGAAAGCUCCGGCUAAAUACGUGCCAGCAGCCGCGGUAAUACGUAUGGAGCGAGCGUUGUCCGGAAUUAUUGGGCGUAAAGGGUGCGCAGGCGGCUUUACAAGUUGGAUGUGAAAUAUUGUGGCUCAACCACAAACGUGCAUCCAAAACUGCAAAGCUUGAGUUAAGGAGAGGUAAGUGGAAUUCCUGGUGUAGCGGUGGAAUGCGUAGAAAUCAGGAGGAAUACCGGUGGCGAAGGCGACUUACUGGACUUAAACUGACGCUCAGGCACGAAAGCGUGGGGAGCAAACAGG
rnacentral:rRNA from 1 species